GGUAGGUACACAGGACAAAUACCUCGUCAACAACUUAGUGCUAAUGUUGCCGCUCAAGUUAGUGAUUGUUCUCUCGACACAUUAGUUCAACGCUUUUGGGAACUCGAUCGGAGCCCAAAUGAGUCAAAGGCUGUGCGCCAGACAGCUGAACAAAAGGCCUGUGAAGCUCACUU